rnacentral:rRNA from 1 species
CCUACGGGAGGCAGCAGUGAGGACUAUUGGUCAAUGGGCGCAAGCCUGAACCAGCCAAGUCGCGCGCGGGAUGACGGUCCUACGGAUUGUAAACCUCUUUUGUCGGGGAGCAAGGCCCGCCACGUGUAGCGGGAAGGAGAGUACCCGAAGAAAAAGCAUCGGCUAACUCCGUGCCAGCAGCCGCGGUAAUACGGAGGAUGGGAGCGUUAUCCGGAUUUAUUGGGUUUAAGGGGUGCGUAGGCGGAAGGUUAAGUCAGCAGGCAAAUGUCGGUGCGCAACACCGGCCUGCCGUUGAAACUGGUCGUCUUGAGUGAGCGAGAAGUAGGCGGAAUGCGUGGUGUAGCGGUGAAAUGCAUAGAUAUCACGCAGAACGCCGAUUGCGAAGGCAGCAUACCGGCGCUCAACUGACGCUGAGGCACGAAAGCGUGGGGAUCGAACAGGAUUAGAUACCCGUGUAGUC